UACGGGGGGGGCAAGCGUUGUUCGGAAUUACUGGGCGUAAAGGGCUCGUAGGCGGCCAACUAAGUCGGAUGUGAAAUCCCCAGGCUUAACCUGGGAACUGCAUCCGAUACUGGAUGGCUUGAAUCCGGGAGAGGGAUGCAGAAUUCCAGGUGUAGCGGUGAAAUGCGUAGAUAUCUGGAGGAAUACCGGUGGCGAAGGCGGCAUCCUGGACCGGCAUUGACGCUGAUGAGCGAAAGCGUGGGGGGCAAACAGG
rnacentral:rRNA from 1 species